GUCGGCGGAUCCCUGUCAGUCACUUUUCUCUCGUACUAAGUGUACUUUCGGUGCCAUUCGAUGGUGACAUUGGUGUUGAGAGUGCAGCUUCCACAGCUCACACUGAAGGCUUUGGGGACCCAGGCGGGCAGGAGUUGUUUUAAGAUACAUGGUCAUUUGACAUAUCAGUGCUAAGUUCAAUCUUGCUACAAAAGGAGGCCAUGUGUACUUCCUGACCCUGAAAGCAAGUAUGCACUUGGCCGCUCACCCGUUCAUCCAUUCAUCUGUUCCGUGAUCUCCGACCAAGUGAGUGCUUAUGACCACACUUGUGUUUGAGAGUGCGCAGAGAUGUGCAGAAGGAUCAAGGCAGACCUGUGAGCUCAGUUUACCUUCCACUCCUUCCUGUUUGUUCUACAGACGAGUGUGCCCAGUUGCUGCCCUGAUCAAGGCCGAUAUUUGUCACACACUGACACCGAAGAGGCCAGAUUAAGAGGAAGCAUUUUGAAAGGCCCGGAACAGAACGGAAAAUGGAGAAGAGAGCCCAGCAUGCCUUGUGCCGUGCCAGAGGAGUACAUAGAAAGAUCUCGAAAGAGUCAGGUUGGUCCAGACCUGCUGGCGAGCCUGCAGCCUCAGCCACCAAUUACCUAAUACACUUGUGACAUCUGCUUUCCUUGUUGUGAGAAAACACAGGGAGGAAGUGUGUAAGUCCACUGAAUUGUUCCUGACUCUUCUAUUCACCUUUCAGCAUGCUAGUUCCUUCCCUUGGCGUUGAUAUCAUUAUGCAUUUGUCAAAGAUAGACUGUCACUUUAGGGCCUCUAUUAUGCACAAGAAUUGGCAGCAAAUGUUGCCACUGGGAUUUGCUUAUGUCCUCUGUAUGUUAUUGUACUUCCCUGGCACUCAGUGAAUUCCGUACACCCACUCCUUUGAUGUUCAUUCCAGCCCCUAAAUGUGGAAACAAUGACUGAAAUUUUGGAUCAAAGCAUCCCAUAGAUGGCAGGCAGCAUAGCUCUCUGAUAAUUCACUAGAACACAGAGUUCCACCCCUCCCCCCACUUAAAAAUCUAGGCCAGUAGUCCCCCAAGCUCUCUGGCUUCUCCAGGCCAAAGGCAUGAGAGGAAGUUAAAGAAAACAAGCUCAAAGUUGGAGUCAAAAGAAAGACACUGAACUAGACAGUGCCGUUAAAGCUCACGGGUGGAAUGGAAGGCUGACUAUUGUUCCAAUUGUUAGCCCGUUUCUUUUCACUGCUUCAGCUGGGCUAAGUCAUCCCCCCCCCCCCCAGCGUUUGAACAAUCUCCAGGUCCCACUUCUGUAUAUUGUCAGCUGCACAAAAUGACAUAUAUUUUUCAAAUAGAUUUUUAAGGCCCAAAGUAUCCAUGCAUUACAGAAUGUUAAAAGUAAAAAAAUCAAAUCAAAUAAAAAUAAAUAAAAAAAAAUUAAACUCAUGAACUAGCAAAAUUUCAACAAGUGAUAUUUUUGCAAACUGGAAGCUCUCUGGAGCAUACAUUUAGUUUGUUUUGUUCAGGGGGAAGCCAGGACAAACUAUGACUUCACUGCAUUUAUAUCACACCUCAAGUUUGACUCGGCUAAGAACUAAAGCAGGUAGCUCCCUAAGGCCGCUGGGAAUCAGAUGAGCACGGAUAUGAAACUGUUGGGAGCUAUUUGUGGGUUGGGGAGGGCACCUUAUAAAUCCAGGGCGUUUACAGCUUAAUUUUUGCCUUGCUACACUUGGAAUUUAGAGUGUUCUCGUUGCAAUCAGUAUAUAAUGUU